GUGACCUCAAAUCAGGUAGGACUACCCGCUGAACUUAAGCAUAUCAAUAAGCGGAGGAAAAGAAACUAACAAGGAUUCCCCUAGUAACUGCGAGUGAAGCGGGAAAAGCUCAAAUUUAAAAUCUGUCAGUCUUUGGCUGUCCGAGUUGUAAUCUAGAGAAGUGUUAUCUGCGUUGGACCGUGUACAAGUCUCCUGGGAUGGAGCGUCAUAGAGGGUGAGAAUCCCGUCUUUGACACGGACUACCAAGGCUUUGUGAUGCGCUCUCAAAGAGUCGAGUUGUUUGGGAAUGCAGCUCAAAAUGGGUGGUAAAUUCCAUCUAAAGCUAAAUAUUGGCGAGAGACCGAUAGCGAACAAGUACCGUGAGGGAAAGAUGAAAAGAACUUUGGAAAGAGAGUUAAACAGUACGUGAAAUUGCUGAAAGGGAAACGCUUGAAGUCAGUCGCGUUGUCCAGGGAUCAACCUUGCUUUUGCUUGGUGUACUUUCUGGUUAACGGGUCAACAUCAAUUUUGAUCAUUGGAAAAAAGUUAAGGGAAUGUGGCAUCUUUGGAUGUGUUAUAGCCUUUGAUUGUAUACAAUGGUUGGGAUUGAGGAACUCAGCACGCCGCAAGGCCGGGUUUUAACCACGUACGUGCUAGGAUGUGC
rnacentral:rRNA from 1 species